CAUCUCUAAGAUUAAGAGCUUGUAUCAUACAUCCUCACCAGCCUCAACAUCGACUACAACCCGCUCGUCUCAACCAUUGCCACGUGAGUGGAGCCCAUCUCUUUGGGCAAACUCUAUGCUCAGAUGAUGAGCUUUGAGA